rnacentral:tRNA from 1 species
GCCAGCAUGGUGUAGUGGUUUGAGUGUUGGACUACGACUCUGGAGACCAGGGUUUGAUUCCCAGCUCUGUUA